GAGUUUGAUCAUGGCUCAGAAUGAACGCUGGCGGCAGGCCUAACACAUGCAAGUCGAACGGAGUUAUAUUGUAGCUUGCUAUGGUAUAACUUAGUGGCAGACGGGUGAGUAAUGUAUAGGAAUCUACCUAGUAGUACGGAAUAAUUGUUGGAAACGGCAACUAAUACCGUAUACGCCCUACGGGGGAAAAAUUUAUUGCUAUUAGAUGAGCCUAUAUUAGAUUAGUUAGNUGGUAAGGUAAUGGCUUACCAAGGCAAUGAUCUAUAGCUGAUCUGAGAGGAUGAUCAGCCACACUGGAACUGAGAUACGGUCCAGACUCCUACGGGAGGCAGCA
rnacentral:rRNA from 1 species